UACGUAGGGGGCAAGCGUUGUCCGGAUUUAUUGGGCGGAAAGAGCGUGUAGGCGGCCUGACAGGUCUGCUGUGAAAACUCGAGGCUCAACCUCGAGAUGUCGGCGGAAACCGUCUGGCUAGAGUCCGGAAGAGGAGAGUGGAAUUCCUGGUGUAGCGGUGAAAUGCGCAGAUAUCAGGAAGAACACCGGUGGCGAAGGCGGUUCUCUGGGCCUGACCUGACGCUGAGGAGCGAAAGCGUGGGGAGCGAACAGG
rnacentral:rRNA from 1 species